rnacentral:misc_RNA from 1 species
UCUGUGCUGCUGUCAGUGAUCUGUGCUGCUGUCAGUGAUCUGUGCUGCUGUCAGUGAUCUGUGCUGUCACGUGUGAUGCGGACGUGCGCUGAAACGGUGACUUUAGAUUCGUGAUUAGUUGAAUUUAGACCUUUAGUGGAAACCGACGAGCUACGCAAUCUGUGACGAGAAGAGGCUCAACUGCAGCGAGCUAACGGCUCGCAUCAUCUCAUCGGACCCAGCGGAGCGGCAUUCCGUAACUAUGUCAGCGCCCGCGGCGGAGACGACACUGCUGCCGUCUGGCGGGAUGACAGCAGCGCCGCUGGACGGUCGCCUGCUGCACUAUGUGGAGCUGAGUCCCGAGAUGGAGAUACUGCUGAACCCGCUCGCCUGGCCGAAUAACUGGAAUGAGUUCCUGAUCCGGCAGUUUGGGUUCACUCUGACGGACCUCAUCGCCUUCAUGGUGUUGUCGUUCUUCUUUUGGAAGGUGCUGGUUCUGUUCAUCCUGCCAGGGAUCUAUUUCCGGGUGAUGCUCUACACGGACGAGAUGGAGGCCGACUCGGACCGGCGACCGGACCGGCGGCGCCACCACCUCGGCUGGAGCCUGGCUCAGGUGAUGGAUGCGGUCUUCACCGCCGGGAGGAGCGCCUGACACAACGACGACAUUGGGCCGUUCUAACGACCCAUCACGUCGCAGAGGUCCCGAGGCCACGUGACGAAGUCGUUCUGGUACAUGGAGAUCUGUCCGCCCAGAGAGCCGUACUCGGGGAUCGGGUCGACGAGCACCGUGGUGCGGCACAUGUCGGCCAUGAAGCGGUCAUAGAAGCUCCUGCGGUCCCCUGCGGCACACACGGCCCGGCGUAUCGCUCCAGGCCCC